GUGAGGAAUUUUCCGCAAUGGGCGAAAGCCUGACGGAGCAAUGCCGCGUGAAGGAUGAAGGCCUAUGGGUUGUAAACUUCUUUUCUUAAAGAAGAAUAUUGACGGUAUCUGAGGAAUAAGCAUCGGCUAACUCUGUGCCAGCAGCCGCGGUAAGACAGAGGAUGCAAGCGUUAUCCGGAAUGAUUGGGCGUAAAGCGUCUGUAGGUGGCUUCAAAAGUCUCCUGUCAAAGAUCAGGGCUUAACCCUGGGCCGGCAGGAGAAACUCUGAGGCUAGAGUUUGGUAGGGGCAGAGGGAAUUCCCGGUGGAGCGGUGAAAUGCGUAGAGAUCGGGAGGAACACCAAAGGCGAAAGCACUCUGCUGGGCCACAACUGACACUGAGAGACGAAAGCGAGGGGAGCAAAAGGGAUUAGAAACCCUAGUAGUCC
rnacentral:rRNA from 1 species